UUUAUUUAGGAAAAAGCCGAGGUAACGGCCUAAAUUCUUGCUAAGUAUUGCUUAUUCUUGCUGGCGGAAUGGAGGUCUACAAGGCAAGCUGGAACCAAUGUCUGGAACGGUUGUCAACCCAAUGACCAAUGAGAUAGCAUGGAAUACUGAUUGUGCUUGCGAGACAGCCAAUGAGAGCCAGGCAUCUGAAAGGUCAAGGGCUAGUGCAUCUGUAUGGCUGUGUACAUGAACAUUAUUAGAUUGUUUGAACAGGUGAUAUCAAAGCAACAGGAUAUAAUUUUACAUCCUAUAUGUUGAUAUUUAUUUUAGCUACUGUACUUAUCAAACAUAUUGUAUCUGACAUUUUAGGAAAAUAUCACAAGUGUCGCUUCAGUCCCGAGAGCAAAUUAGACCCUGUCUGCAAGUGACUAUACAGGAGAUUUUGAAUAGAUUCAUAAAGAUUCAAUUACAUCAAAAUAAAUAGCAUAAUGAGCAAACAUAGUUCUGAAUGUUUGAUUGCGGGCUAUUAAACCAAUGCAAUUCCUCUUUACGCCACAAGAUGUCAGCCUUAGCUAGCAAUGCAAGAUAUGCUGUCAUUUUAUCCCAGCGAUUCCCAAAUAUGUCUUUGCCUUUAAUAAAUAUGCAGCUCCAAAAAUUGUUCGGUUACCAAGAAUAUUAACUGUUUACUUUGCAAGCUCACCAACAAUGGGGCAUCAAGCAACAAUAGGCCUACUGGUCUUGUGACCCUGAAGAAAGCUGCCACUGAACCAUCAACAGUGUUGUAUUUCAAAGGGCAAGAAGCUAAUGCCGAGAGGGGACGAAGGCUAUUGAGUCAAUUUGUCAAACUGAUGGACGUCUUGUUUGUGUGUGUGUCCUCUCUCUCUGUCUCUAGGACAGAUGUCUAACAAGAAUUUCUGUCAGCUCAAAUGUCUCUCCUGUUAAAAACCUAACAGUGUUAUACAUACAUGUUAUACAUACACUGUCUGUUAUUAAAGUUCUACUUCCCAUGUUGCCAUGGUGAUUGCA